rnacentral:rRNA from 1 species
AUGGAAUUCACCGAUCUGUUCCUCGUGCAGGUUGAGCGCACCAAAAGCAGGCCUUUUGCGUCAGGUGCUCUAACCCCUUCUCAGGGUGUGUGCUUCCUCGGAUCUCAGCUACUGCUGGGAUUGGGUAUUCUUCUCCAACUAAACGACUUUAGCCGUGUUCUUGGGGCGUCCUCUCUUCUUUUGGUCUUCUCUUAUCCCUUGAUGAAGAGGUUCACAUUUUGGCCUCAGGCAUUUCUUGGCUUGACCUUCAACUGGGGAGCUCUGUUAGGAUGGGCUGCUAUCAAAGGGAGCCUAGAUCCUGCUGUCAUCAUCCCACUGUAUACCGCUGGUAUAUGUUGGACAUUGGUGUAUGAUACCAUAUAUGCACAUCAGGGACAAGAAGAUGACCUCAAAGUAGGAGUUAAGUCCACAGCGUUAAGGUUUGGAGAUUCGACCAAGCAAUGGAUCAGUGCAUUCGGUGCUGCAUCAAUUGGCAGCUUUGCACUAAGUGGCUACAAUGCUGAACUUGCAUGGCCCUACUACCCUCUUCUGACAGCCGCAGCUGCACAGUUGGCAUGGCAGAUUUCAACCGUCGACUUGUCUGACCGCGCAGACUGCAACAGGAAAUUUGUGUCAAACAAGUGGUUUGGAGCUCUGGUAUUCUGGGGAAUUGUUUUUGGGCGACUUGCAUCGUGA